rnacentral:lncRNA from 7 species
AGAGGGAAAAAGAGAAUAACAAGUAAAAAGCAAUGCAUGUAAAUACAGAGCAAGCAAGUAGGAAAGCUAGGCAUAGCACAGCAAAAGAGAGCAAAGCAAAAGAAGGCAAAGAAUGACAAAAAGCAACCUUGCAGGAAUGGAGGAAUCUGGCCAGAGCUGUGCCCCUGCUUGCCACAGGAGCUGCGCGGGAGGAGAAGAAUGUGGGCCAAAAGGAAUGGAGGAAUCUGGCCAGAGCUGUGCCCCUGCUUGCCACAGGAGCUGCGCGGGAGGAGAAGAAUGUGGGCCAAAAGGUAAGAGGAGCUCCUUUGGGUUCUGGGCUUGAAGCAAAGCUGAGAAGCCAUGCCCGGGAGGAGGUGUGGGUAGCUACAGGCCACCUUGCUAUCUCCCCAAGAGAUGAGGUGUGUGGGCUAGGCACCGGGCAGGAGUGCUGGCCAGAAGCAAGCAUCUCUGUGGAGGAAGGCAAAGGGCGGAGGAGGUUCAAGGGUAGCUACCGGGCAUGGCCUUGCUCAGCAAGGGAGGAAAAGCCUGAAGGGCACGAGAAGGGGAUAGAGAAGGGCAGGCAGUAGGCGUGAAGCUGUGAGCAGAGUAGAGAGCAACUUGGCAGAGCAGCAAGCAGAGUAGGCAAGUGUGAGGUUUGGCGUGAGUAGCAGCAAAAGCCCAGAGCAUCAAGAAGCAGGAAGUGAGGAGAAGGUAAGUGAAGGGCAGGCAAGGUAAUGGGAGGCAAAGGCAAGGGGAAAGGGGGGG